CAGAAGGUAGUUUAAUAUAAAAUUCCGGUUUUGGGGGCCGGAGAUGAGAUUUUAAGUUUAUUUCUCUUUUGAG
rnacentral:tRNA from 1 species